GCCUCCCUAGCUCAGCAGGUAGCAGCGGCCGUCUCGUAAGCGGCAGGACGUCGGUUCGAUUCCGACGGGGGGCUCGA
rnacentral:tRNA from 1 species